rnacentral:lncRNA from 1 species
AUCCAAUCAUAAACUAACAUCAGGGUUGGGAGUGAGGGUCAAGGAAGUGCAAUACAACUCAAUAUACCACUAAAAAGGCUCUACAAAUCUUUGAAAUAGAGGAAAUGAAAUCAAUUUACAAAAGAAAUCAUUUCACAAUUCGGAAUCAAUUUGAUUACUCAUCAACCCCUCGUAAUUACUCUCAAUGUUUCCUCAAAUGCAUGUACAGAAUAAUCAAGCAUGGAGAAUCAAGAUUAUAGAGAAAUCUACUACAAUAUCAAUCAAUAUGCUCAAGUGGAAUCAAUUCACACUUGGCGACAUUCAUGAAAAUGAAUUAAGGAUGCUCAUGGUGCAAAGUACAUGACUCCCACUCACCUGUCAAUCCGGCACGGCCUCGAUACACCUCCAAAAAUCUACAGUAGGCAGUGGAAAACUUCUUCUUCUUGUUUCCUAGCUUCUUGCCCAACUGUGACAUGCAUUUAUAAUACAUUUAGUCCUGUAUCAAGAGUCAUAAUCUACGUGCC